AUAAAUUAAUAAAUUAAGUAAAAAUUGGAUUAUUUCAUCUUACCCUAAAAGUGUACAUAUUUUAAGUGGGCCCGAGUAUAAAGGAGUUGGUUAUUGCGAGAGCAGGAAGUACAACCCGGAUGGUGUCGGGAUGAGGUCUGAUGGUUGCUAGAGGCUAGGUGUGCAGUGCUGAGGAGUUUGAACUUUUCCUACAGGAGAUGGGAACCACUGAUGUGCCAUAAGCUGGAGGAGUGUGAUUUUUAAAGAUGAUUUGACCGCAGUGGGAAAUACAUACAGCACCAGGUGCAACCCUGUUGUAAUGGCCCAGGCAGGCCUCAGACCCAGUGAGGGCGUGAGCGCUUAUACCAGAACAGUGAUACCGGGGAUGGAGAAAUAAAGUCAAAUUUAAGGCCCAGCUGGAUUUCCGUGCCCCAAUUUACUGUCAUUGCCAGAGCUUCUGAGCAUGCGCUGAAGGCAGAGCUGGACUAACCAAUGCUCUCCUGAGGCUCAAGCUAAUGUGGUGUCCCAGAAGUCUACUGAAACUUGCUGUGCGAGAUAAUAGACUUCAUGUAUGUUAAGCAUUGUAUCAGAUCCUUUGGGAAUCAGUGUUGUACACCAGCCUAAAUGUACUGGAGUUACUGUCUUUUUAAGAAAUCUGAAGAAUGUUGUUCCUUCUGCAGGAACCUUCAUGCUGAGAUGACCCUAGAUUGUUAGUAUGUCACAGUAAGAUGCCUUAAUGAAGGUAGUCAGAGUGCAGAUAACUGGCAACCUUAAAUUGAUAUAAACACAGCAAAUAGAAGGGAAUAAUCAGAUCACAAGGAAGUCAGAUUCUGUGGGUGGAUUUCUGGGAGGAAGGAGCAAGAAGACAAAGGGUGAAGAAGCAAAAAGAAAAUGGACUUAGCAAUGAGAUGGACAUAUCUCCACCAUCUUGCUGCUCAAACUAACAACAAUCAUUCAAAAGCCAUCCCUAAGUUGGUGAAAUAUAUAUAUUAAAACAGA